ensembl:lncRNA
CAAAACAAAAUGUGAUAAAGUGAAGUGCUGUGAAUACUUUCCAGAUGCACUGUAUCUAGUGGUGUUUAUUCUGAUUAUACUGUAUUACCAUACCUCCCAACCUUUAUGGUUCAGAAAUGUAUUUAAAAAAAAACAAAAAAACAACAACAGCACUUUCAAUUUUGGCAGAAAGAAACAAAGGCAUAUAAGACAUGUUUGAUCUAAACAUAAAGAUAAUUUAAAUUAAUGUUAAUGUUGAUAAUUAGAAUACUUUUAUUUGCUCAUUUUCACUUCAUCAUCACUCACACUGGGCCUCAUUUAUCAGGCUGGAUAAGAAUAGAUUUAUUCACAAUUUGUGUAUAGGAGCAUGUACAUAAUUUGGUAUUCAUGAAAAACCUGAAAGUUCUGCAAAAUGUAUCCUACUUGUGUGUUUGUGUAAAUAUAUGCAUAAAAGACAAAUUAAUGUAAACAUAAUUUGUUCAAAUCUAAUUUGCUAUGAGUUACUGUGAUUUUAUAAAUGCCUUGCACUGUCUCAGUAUAAGAUUAAAUUGCAUAUUUAUUUAUAUUUACCCACACCAACUGAAUUAACAUUUUGUGAAGCUUAGUCAUUUCACCUGCUUAUCCUUCAGGGUCAUAGGGAACCUAGAGCAUGGGACACAUUCACAUGCCCAUUUUGGGCAUGCCAAUCAACCUACCAUGCAUGUCUUUGGACGGGGAGGAAACUAGAGUUCCUGGAGGAAACUCCACACACACAGAGCGAGGGCAGGAAUUGAACCCCCAGCCCUGGUAGUGAGAGGCAAAUGUGCUAACCACUAAGCCACUGCGCCCUUUCAGGGUGCUAAUUUGCCACUGUUCACUGCUCUUACCCAACAUAUGUAUAUGUUCUUGUGGCUAGUAUAUAUUUAUAAGUGUCUUGGGAAAUUUGCCACAUUUGGGUGACACUAGAUAUUGUUUUUUGCAGGUAAAACCUGAAAGCAUUCAUUAUGUGUUUUGAAAGUGACUUGUAAUGUAAUGUGUUCCUUUCUUUACUAACAUACAUCUUCCUGUAACAAUUUUUUUUGUUGAAAAACUAAUGUUUGGAAAACUUUUCUUACUGACUUAAUGCACACAGUAAUCAUCUAAGCCAAAAUUUGUACUUAGAAACAAAUAAGACAAGUCAUUCAAUAAAGAAGAACUACAGAUAUAUAAAAGAAGGAUGAGCUGUAAUUGACCUAUUGAGUGCAUCCGGAAAGUAUUCACAGCGCUUCACUUUUUCCACAUUUUGUUAUGUUACAGCUUUAUUCCAAGAUGGAUUAAAUUGAUUAUUUUCCUCAAAAUUCUACAAACAAUAACCCAUAAUGACAACGUGAAAUAAGUUUGGUUGAAAUCUUUGCAAAUUUAUUAAAAAUAAAAAACAAAAAAGCACAUGUACAUAAGUAUUCACAGCCUUUGCUCAAUACUUUGUUGAAGUACCUUUGGCACCAAUUACAGCCUCCAGUCUUUUUGAGUAUGAUGCUACAAGCUUGGCACACCUAUUUUUGGGCAGUUUCUCCUAUUCUUCUUUGCAGGACCUCUCAAGCUCCAUCAGGUUGGAUGGGGAACGUCGGUGCACAGCCAUUUUCAUUGUUCAAUCGGGUUCAAGUCUGGGCUUUGGCUGGGCCACUCAAGGACAUUCACAAAGUUGUCUUGUAGCCACUCCUUUGUUAUCUUGUCUGUGUGCUUAUGGUCAUUAUCCUGUUGAAUGAUCAACCUUCGCCCUAGUCUGAGGUCCAAAGCGCUCUGGAACAGGUUUUCAUCAAGGAUGUCUCUGUACAUUGCUGCAUUCAUUUUUCCCUCGAUCCUGACUAGUCUCCCAGUUCCUGCCGCUGAAAAACAUCCCCACAGCAUGAUGCUUCCACCACCAUGCUUCACUGUAGGGAAUAUUAUUGGGCAGGUGAUGAGUGGUACCUGGUUUCCUCCAGACAUGACGCUUGCCAUUCAGGCCAAAGAGUUCAAUCUUUGUUUCAUCAGACCAGAGAAUUUUGUUUCUCAUGGUCUGAGAGUCCUUCAGGUGCCUUUUGGCAAACUCCAUUCAGGCUGUGGCUUCUGUCUGGCCACUGUACCAUACAGGCCUGAUUGGUGGAGUGCUGCAGAGAUAGGUGUUCUUCUGGAAGUUUCUCCUCUCUCCACAGAAACACGCUGGAGCUCUGUCAGAGUGACCGUUGGGUUUUUGGUCACCUCCCUGACAAACGCCCUUCUCCUCUGAUCGCACAGUUUGGCCGGGCGGCCAGCUCUAGGAAGAGUGCUGGUGGUUCCAAACUUCUUCCGUUUACGGAUGAUAGAGGCCACUGUGCUCGUUGGGACCUUCAAUGCUGCAGAAAUGUUUCUGUACCCUUCCCCAGAUCUGAGCCUCGAUACAAUACUGUCUCUGAGGUCUACAGACAAUUCCUUGGACUUUAUGGCUUGGUUUGUGCUCUGACAUGCAUUGUUAACUGUUGGACCUUAUAUAGACAGGUUUGUGCCUUUCCAAAACAUGUCCAAUCAACUGAAUUUACCAUAGGUAAUUUGAAACGACAUAUGUGAAUACAUAUGUACAUGUGCUUUUUUUUGCUUAUUUAUUUUUAAUAAAUUUGCAAAGAUUUCAAACAAACGUCUUUCAUGUUGUCAUUAUGGGGUAUUAUAGAAUUUUGAGGAAAAUAAUGAAUUUAAUCCAUUUUGGAAUAAGGCUGUAACAUAACAAAAUGUGGAAAAAGUGAAGUGCUGUGAAUACUUUCCGGAUGCACUGUAAGUAGCUGAUCUGGUAUGUCUCAAGCUCCAAUGUGCCAUAUACAUUGGUGUUUGAAAGUUUGUAAAUUUUCUAUAUUUCUGCAUAAAUGUGACCUAAAAUAACAUCAGAUUUUCACACAAGUCCUAAAGGUAGAUAAAGAGAAUCCAAUUAAACAAAUGAGAUAAAAAUAUUAUAUUUGGUCAUUUACUUAUCGAGGAAAAUACAUUAUAUAUCUGUGAGUGGCAUAGUAUGUGAACCUUUGCUUUCAGUAUGUGGUGUGACCCCCUUGUGCAGCAGUAAUUGCAGAUAAACCUUUGGGGUAACUGUUAAUCAGUCCUGCACAUCGACUUGGAGGAAUUUUAGCCCGUUUCUCAGUUCAGAACAGCUUCAUCUCUGGGAUGUUGGUGGGUUUCCUCACAUGACCUGCUUACUUCAGGUCCUUCCACAGCAUUUCUAUUGGAUUAAGGUCAGGACUUUGACUUGGCCAUUCCAAAACAUUAACUUUCUUCUUCUUUAACCAUUCUUUGGUAGAAUGACUUAAAAGAAAAUUCUAAAGGGUGCACAAACUUUCAAGCACCGACCUAUGUUAGCGAGCUUGAGAAGACAUUAACAACAUGACAGAUUGCAUAAUGGACAGAUUGCAUAAUUUCAGCAAUUUCUGCAUGGGCACUAUAGUUCCAGUCAGGCAAGUGCUUUGUUUUCCUAAUAACAAACCCUGGAUCACCAAGCACCUGAAGGAACUACUGAAAUAAUAGAAGCAGACUUACAGGAAGGACAAUGAACAGAUGUGGAUGAUGCAGAAGUAGCUGAAGGUGAGACUGAGGGAGAACAUAGGAGCCUACAGAAGGAAGCUGGAAGGCAGGUUUCAGCAGAACAACACAAAGAAUGUGUGGGCUGGCAUGAUGCAGAUCCCUGGCUUCAAAGCAAAACAACAACCUGUGGGGGCAGUCUAGAAAGAGCUAACAAGCUAAAUUGGUUCUUCAGUAGGUUCAGCACAACACUCUCCCCUAUUGUUUCCACUCUCUCACUAGAACUCUUCCCCAACUCCCCCAAAGAUUAAACAUCUUUUCCCACCCUGUCUAAUAACCUGUUGGAAAACUUCAUUCAUUGUGUUUAUCAGACACCCUUAGUCAGAUGUGAAAGGACAUUACAUUUUUACAACGGUGCAGCUGAGAGUUAUGGGCAUUGCCUGGGAUUUGAACCCACAACCUUCCAAUCAGUUGUCCAAACCCUUAACCACUGAGCUACCACUGUACUGCUUAGUAUUGGCUAAGAAGAAGGGUGGGAUUCUGCGGCUGUGUAUUGAUUAUAAGUUGCACAACAGCAAAACCUGCUAAUUUGCAUUUCCCUUAAAACUAAUAGAGGAGUCCUUAGAUGUUCUCUGUGAAGCUGUUUCAAAAUCUCUAUCAUCAUUCAUUUUCCCAAUAAAUGGACAAUCUCCUGCUUAAAUGAUUACAGACCAGCUGCUUUAACAUCCAUAAUCAUGAAGUACUUCAAAAGACUGAUUUUACUGCAUCUCAAAAACAUUAAUGAUGCCCUUCAAGAUCCCCUGCAGUUGAAGGAUGAUGCCAUAAACUUGGCUUUGCACUACUCCCUGCACCAUAUGGACUGCUGUCACACCUGUGCCUGCAUUUUGUUUGUGGAUUUUAGCUCUGCUUUCAAUAAUAUCAUCCCUGACCUACUUUCAGACAAACUGAAGCAAUUUUACAUAUCUCCGUCUGUCUGCUGCUGGAUUAUUAAUUUCCUGUCCAAUAGGAAGCAAUAUGUCAAGAUGGUGACCACAUUUUAGACCUGCUCUUCCUCAACACUAGAGCUCCACAAGAUGGCAUGCUUUCUCCUCUGUUUUAUUCACUGAACACCAAUGGCUGAACUUCUGAGGGCACACACUUUUCUCCAGGGGUUUCGGGACAGCGUAACAGAUAUUGCAUUAUCAGGCAGGCGUGGCCUGUUUUAAGAAUCUACAUAGGACAACGAUCAUGCGCAGCUUGGGAAGUAAAGCCAUUUGCAGUGGAUAGUUGUCUUUCUGUGAUUGCAGGGGUUUCCUGCCAAAUACCCUUUUACAUUGAUUCUGCUACAUCUUCAUAUACCUGUCCAUGACCGCAGGGGUUUCAAGUUUGAAAAAUAUAAUUCAGUUAUGAAAUCCUUGUUUCGCUUAAAUAAGCUCAAAGUCUUACUGAUUUUACAUCAAUUCUAUUACGUGUCCAAUCAUGUCAAACUAAAAAUCUGCAGUGAAACCUUAGUUGUUUUUAACCUCAGCAUUGUUUCCACUGCUGUUUCCCAUUAUUAAAAACAAACUCAUCAUUAUCCACGCUUUCAUACACAACUUUAUUUACACAGAAAGAGCAAUGUUGACAACAAAAACGUUUGAAGAACCUGUUGAUUCAAGUAUUUUUUCAAGAUUCAAGAUUUUUUUUUAAACAUUGGAAAAAUAGUUAUCGGUAUGACUAUUUUGUCCUUCAUCAUGCAUCACUGGUCCUAGGAAUUGCCGCGCAAGUAUUCUGCGCAUGUUCGGUGGACUGUAAUUUUUUUGGAAGGAGGCGUCUUCGCCAUACCUCCAGAAACACCUAUUCUACAUUACAGUACUAAAACCCCUGGAAUUUAGUGUAUGCUAAAUUCUGAGAGAGACUCCAACAAGCUCAUCAAGUUUGCAGAUGAUACCACCCUGGUCUGACUCAUUGAGAAAGAUGAAUCAAAGGUCUGGUGGUAUGGUGUCAUGCUAACAACUUAGAUCUGAACCUGGCAAAAACUGUGGAGAUGAUAAUUGACUUCAGAAGGAAGCAUCCACCACAGGUUCCUAUAGAAAUAAGUUGCUGAACAGUCAACAUAUAAAGUCACACAGAUUCCUGGGGACUGCAACAACACACUCCAAUUUAAAGCUACAGUGCACCAUUGGGAGUGCAGAUACAGCCCCAAUUCCAAAAAAGUUGGGACACUGUAAAAUAUGAAUAAAAAGAAUGCAAUGAUUUGCAAAUGUCAUAAACCUAUAUGUUAUUCACAAUAGAACAUAGAAAACACAAAAUGUUUAAACGAAUAAAUGAAUAAAUGUAAACUGAGGAAAUGUUUUAAGGAAAAAAUGAGGUAAUUUUGAAUUUGAUGGCCACAACACUUAAUUGGCAAAAGGUCAGUAACACAAUUGGGUAUAAAAAGAGUAUCUUAAAGAGGCAGAGUCUGUAUAAGCAGUAUUCACAUAUCACAUUAUACUUUUUUUGGCAUUGUCCUCUUGCACAGAUGUAUUGUAUUGUAUUGUAUUGUAUUGUACUUUUGGUUAAUGUUCUGUCCUGUAUUAUGUGUGACACUAAACCAAAUAGAAUUCUUUGUAUUUGAUGAAUAAAAACAUUUUGAUUCUGAUCACCGAUUUAAAAUAUAUUUGGCCAUUUUAACAUCACUAAUAAUCUGAGAGCACUUGAUCACUCAUGAGCUGAAUAAAUUACUCAUAUGUGGUUGAUACCAUACAAGAGGGGGUCCUUAAUUUUCCAAAUAUUUGGAAAAAAAAAAAAAUCGGUCAAAAUCACUUGUUACUUGCAAGAUUCCCAUGUAGGUCUGCCAAAUAUUUCACUUGGCUGCUUGAAGGCCAGUACCCACUUACACUUAAAAUUUUAAUCCAAUACGCACAUUCUGACUCAUACUGACUUUUCAAUUACACAACUAUUAGUCCAUGAUCUGAUCCUAGUCAUCAUCUCUUUCCAAUGGCUUUCACUAGGGUAAACAUACGUCCUCUUUUUCAGCCCUUAAAAAAGCGUCCGGCCAGGAUUUCUAAAUGUGAGAAAAUUAUGAUGUGUUUAUGGUCUAAUACUGCAUCAUGUGUGCACAUGUUUGCAUUGCUUUAACUUCUCUCUGUAAAUCCCACCUUCUCGCAUACCAAUUGGUUGAUUAUAAAAGGCUUGCAACAACUAUUGACCAAAUUCACGCCUCUCAACCAUUAGCCUACUUCAGUCUCAUUAGUCUCAGCGAACGCAUGAAGGUGGAGCGCUGUUGUGUUUGCCGUCAAACAGUUGCUUGACAAUAGCAGCAUAAAAACAGAAUAUGGUCACUCUACUUUCACUCCUCUCAUGCUUAAAUACUCUGUGAUGUUGUCAGUAUAGAAAAUAUUUAUGAAGCAUAAUCAAUAUGUGUAACUAACAUUUGGAUAUGUUAAUAAAGUGUAUUCAAUAUGUAUAACCAACAUUUAGAAUUAUUACUUAAGCAUAAUCGAAUGAUCAAUAUUGGUUAAAAAGCAGAAUCUAUAUGUAUAAUCAUUAGUUAGAAGCAUAAUCUAAAUCCAUAGAACAAUGUUUGAUCAAUUUAUAUUCUGAGUGUGUAUUGAGUUGGAUUUUACUCUGUGUCUUACUGUACAAUAAUUGUUCUUUCUGUACCAGCCUGUAUCUUUCUCCACAGAAGCAAAUAACUUUGAGGCCUGAUACCAAAUAACAAGCUAGGAUAAGACUUAAAAAAGGCGAGUGUGGAUCAAGGUUAGGACUCAGUUUGUGCGAAACCUUUUUUUAAAAAAAAAAAAAAAAAAAAAAAAAAAACAAUUUAAGAAAUCAUUUUGAGAAAAAAACAACUAACUGUGCAUGCUCCACAAAUUUAAGAUAACAUAGACAUGAAUAUUUAAUUGUGGCAAAGAAGAUUGGUCUGUUUUUAAUAAGGAAAAGCAAAACCCCGCCUGAGAUGGAUACUCUGUGGAGAAAGGUAUAUAAAGGGCUGUGUAUGUUUGCAUAAUUUGGACUUUCUGUAGACUGUCACGCUUUAUUGGUUUUCAAUAAAGUUUAUUUACUUUUUG